CGACAAGAAGUAGUUCGUCUAAAAGCACAAAUAUGUUCACUCAAAGCACACGACAAUGAGAGGAAAUCCAUGCUUUGGAAGAAAUUACAGAAUCCCUUUGACAGCAGCAAAACUGAAGUAUUUCUGCAGAAACAAUCAGAUUUUGUCAAAGUCUCAGAAAGGAGUGUGGAACAUUCAAGUCCAAGACCGAGUAUACAAGAACUAGCUGCGAUAAAAGAGAAGCACGCUAAAGUACCAAAUCCACCACCAAGGCCUACGUAUGUAGCCCCUCCAUCACUCAAGGAAGCGAACGACAAUAAGUUGCCACUGACAUCUGCACCACCGCCUCCGCCUCCUCCACCAAAUAUGUGUGCU
rnacentral:lncRNA from 1 species